AAAGCGGGGGAUCUUCGGACCUCGCGCUAUGAGAUGAGCCUGCGUUAGAUUAGCUAGUUGGUAGGGUAAGGGCCUACCAAGGCGACGAUCUAUAGCUGGUCUGAGAGGACGAUCAGCCACACUGGGACUGAGACACGGCCCAGACUCCUACGGGAGGCAGCAGUGGGGAAUAUUGGACAAUGGGCGCAAGCCUGAUCCAGCAAUACCGCGUGUGUGAAGAAGGCCUUAGGGUUGUAAAGCACUUUCAAUUGGGAGGAAAACCUGCCGGUCAAUACCCGGCAGCUUGACAUUACCUUUAGAAGAAGCACCGGCUAACUCCGUG
rnacentral:rRNA from 1 species